rnacentral:rRNA from 1 species
AGCAGCCGCGGUAAUUCCAGCUCCAAUAGCGUAUAUUAAAGUUGUUGCAGUUAAAAAGCUCGUAGUUGAAUUUCGGGGUCAGUAGGUUGGUCAUGCCACAGGUAUGUACUGAUCUUACUGAUUCCUCCUUCCUGAUGAACCGUAAUGCCAUUAAUUUGGUGUUGCGGGGAAACUGGACUGUUACUUUGAAAAAAUUAGAGUGUUUAAAGCAGGCUCACGCUUGAAUACAUUAGCAUGGAAUAAUGAAAUAGGACGUUUGAUUCUAUUUUGUUGGUUUCUAGGAUCGACGUAAUGAUUAAUAGGGAUAGUUGGGGGCAUUAGUAUUCAAUUGUCAGAGGUGAAAUUCUUGGAUUUAUUGAAGACUAACUACUGCGAAAGCAUUUGCCAAGGAUGUUUUCAUUAAUCAAGAACGAAAGUUAGGGGAUCGAAGACGAUCAGAUACCGUCGUAGUCUUAACCAUAAACUAUGCCGACUAGGGAUCGGAUGAUGUUAUUUUUGAUGACUCA